GAUGAACGCUGGCGGCGUGCCUAAUACAUGCAAGUCGAGCGAACGGACGAGAAGCUUGCUUCUCUGAUGUUAGCGGCGGACGGGUGAGUAACACGUGGAUAACCUACCUAUAAGACUGGGAUAACUUCGGGAAACCGGAGCUAAUACCGGAUGAUAUUUUGAACCGCAUGGUUCAAAAGUGAAAGACGGUCUUGCUGUCACUUAUAGAUGGAUCCGCGCUGCAUUAGCUAGUUGGUAAGGUAACGGCUUACCAAGGCAACGAUGCAUAGCCGACCUGAGAGGGUGAUCGGCCACACUGGAACUGAGACACGGUCCAGACUCCUACGGGAGGCAGCAGUAGGGAAUCUUCCGCAAUGGGCGAAAGCCUGACGGAGCAACGCCGCGUGAGUGAUGAAGGUCUUCGGAUCGUAAAACUCUGUUAUUAGGGAAGAACAUAUGUGUAAGUAACUGUGCACAUCUUGACGGUACCUAAUCAGAAAGCCACGGCUAACUACGUGCCAGCAGCCGCGGUAAUACGUAGGUGGCAAGCGUUAUCCGGAAUUAUUGGGCGUAAAGCGCGCGUAGGCGGUUUUUUAGUCUGAUGUGAAAGCCCACGGCUCAACCGUGGAGGGUCAUUGGAAACUGGAAAACUUGAGUGCAGAAGAGGAAAGUGGAAUUCCAUGUGUAGCGGUGAAAUGCGCAGAGAUAUGGAGGAACACCAGUGGCGAAGGCGACUUUCUGGUCUGUAACUGACGCUGAUGUGCGAAAGCGUGGGGAUCAAACAGGAUUAGAUACCCUGGUAGUCCACGCCGUAAACGAUGAGUGCUAAGUGUUAGGGGGUUUCCGCCCCUUAGUGCUGCAGCUAACGCAUUAAGCACUCCGCCUGGGGAGUACGACCGCAAGGUUGAAACUCAAAGGAAUUGACGGGGACCCGCACAAGCGGUGGAGCAUGUGGUUUAAUUCGAAGCAACGCGAAGAACCUUACCAAAUCUUGACAUCCUUUGACAACUCUAGAGAUAGAGCUUUCCCCUUCGGGGGACAAAGUGACAGGUGGUGCAUGGUUGUCGUCAGCUCGUGUCGUGAGAUGUUGGGUUAAGUCCCGCAACGAGCGCAACCCUUAAGCUUAGUUGCCAUCAUUAAGUUGGGCACUCUAAGUUGACUGCCGGUGACAAACCGGAGGAAGGUGGGGAUGACGUCAAAUCAUCAUGCCCCUUAUGAUUUGGGCUACACACGUGCUACAAUGGACAAUACAAAGGGCAGCGAAACCGCGAGGUCAAGCAAAUCCCAUAAAGUUGUUCUCAGUUCGGAUUGUAGUCUGCAACUCGACUACAUGAAGCUGGAAUCGCUAGUAAUCGUAGAUCAGCAUGCUACGGUGAAUACGUUCCCGGGCCU
rnacentral:rRNA from 1 species